rnacentral:rRNA from 1 species
AGAGUUUGAUCCUGGCUCAGGACGAACGCUGGCGGCGCGCCUAACACAUGCAAGUCGAACGGAGCUGAGAGGAGCUUGCUUUUCUUAGCUUAGUGGCGAACGGGUGAGUAACGCGUGAGUAACCUGCCCUGGAGUGGGGGACAACAGUUGGAAACGACUGCUAAUACCGCAUAAGCCCACGGAUCCGCAUGGACCUGCGGGAAAAGGAUUUAUUCGCUUCAGGAUGGACUCGCGUCCAAUUAGCUAGUUGGUGAGGUAACGGCCCACCAAGGCGACGAUUGGUAGCCGGACUGAGAGGUUGAACGGCCACAUUGGGACUGAGACACGGCCCAGACUCCUACGGGAGGCAGCAGUGGGGGAUAUUGCACAAUGGGGGAAACCCUGAUGCAGCGACGCCGCGUGGAGGAAGAAGGUUUUCGGAUUGUAAACUCCUGUCGUUAGGGACGAUAAUGACGGUACCUAACAAGAAAGCACCGGCUAACUACGUGCCAGCAGCCGCGGUAAAACGUAGGGUGCAAGCGUUGUCCGGAAUUACUGGGUGUAAAGGGAGCGCAGGCGGACCGGCAAGUUGGAAGUGAAAACUAUGGGCUCAACCCAUAAAUUGCUUUCAAAACUGCUGGCCUUGAGUAGUGCAGAGGUAGGUGGAAUUCCCGGUGUAGCGGUGGAAUGCGUAGAUAUCGGGAGGAACACCAGUGGCGAAGGCGACCUACUGGGCACCAACUGACGCUGAGGCUCGAAAGCAUGGGUAGCAAACAGGAUUAGAUACCCUGGUAGUCCAUGCCGUAAACGAUGAUUACUAGGUGUUGGAGGAUUGACCCCUUCAGUGCCGCAGUUAACACAAUAAGUAAUCCACCUGGGGAGUACGACCGCAAGGUUGAAACUCAAAGGAAUUGACGGGGGCCCGCACAAGCAGUGGAACAUGUGGUUUAAUUCGAUGAUACGCGAGGAACCUUACCCGGGCUUGAAUUGCAGAGGAAGGAUUUGGAGACAAUGACGCCCUUCGGGGUCUCUGUGAAGGUGCUGCAUGGUUGUCGUCAGCUCGUGCCGUGAGGCGUCGGCUUAAGUGCCAUAACGAGCGCAACCCCUCUCCUUAGUUGCCAUCAGGUUAAGCUGGGCACUCUGGGGACACUGCCACCGUAAGGUGUGAGGAAGGUGGGGAUGACGUCAAAUCAGCACGGCCCUUACGUCCGGGGCUACACACGUGUUACAAUGGCAGGUACAGAGAGACGGUCCCUUGCAAAACGGAUCAAAUCCUUAAAGCCUGUCUCAGUUCGGACUGGGGUCUGCAACCCGACCCCACGAAGCUGGAUUCGCUAGUAAUCGCGCAUCAGCCAUGGCGCGGUGAAUACGUUCCCGGGCCUUGUACACACCGCCCGUCAAGCCAUGAAAGCCGGGGGCGCCUAAAGUCCGUGACCGUAAGGAGCGGCCUAGGGCGAAACUGGUAAUUGGGGCUAAGUCGUAACAAGGUA